GUUUCAAUUCCUCAUAGGCAGGCUAUCGGCGAGGGAAGUUUUAAACUAUUUGGAUUAGUGGUUAACAGG
rnacentral:sRNA from 1 species